GGCUCCGUAGCUCAGCUGGAUAGAGCAUCGCCCUUCUAAGGCGAGGGUCGUUCGUUCGAAUCGAACCGGAGUCACCA
rnacentral:tRNA from 1 species